CAGAGGUAGGUGGGAGACGCCCUGAGCUGGAGAACAGGAGCUGACUCUGGCCCAGCGGGAUUCCUGCAUGCUUCUCCACGGGAUAAUGACGGGAGACUAGAAAUCAGCUGCGGCUUGCUGCUUCUCCAACUGACAAGAAGAUAUUGACGUUUACCACGGAGCAGAAAUUUCCCUUUGGAUUAAGGCAUUGGAUGCUACUUGUAUGAAAUAUUACUCAAGAGGAGUUACACUUGAAGCUCUUCUCUUCUUGUCAGAGACCAGUCAAACGCGACAUGGAACAAGAGAAGACAAGACCGUCUUGAGACCUGAUGGACAUGUCAGAAGAGAGAAGGUGUGAUGUGAGUGCCUCAGAUGCUGAGAAGCUGGGGGGGUCAUUUGCAAAUUGGGUGUUUGCAAAUAGAAGACUUCUCACUGAUGAGAAUUCAACGCAAGCUAGUGCUGACUAGGGAGAGUAACACACACUGGUUCUGCGCCCCGCGGUGUAGCGGGUUUUCUCUUGGUUGCUUACGACUGAAGCAGUAAUUUCGGGAAAUGAAAGAUGAUGCAGGAGUGACACGGACUCUCUAGCUGCUUUGCUCUCCCUCCCAGGGGCUGAGAAAGUGUGCUGGGCUGUGUUCUUGAAGCCCCUCCCCCUCGUAAGUGUCUGGACCCAAUUCCACAUUUAUUUGGAAGAAGACAUCAGAGAACCCAAGAUGCCAAGUCCCUACUGCUCUGCAGGGAAUUCUUCAUAGAAAGAACUUCAGAGUUUCUAUGGCAGACCAGAUAAAUCUAAGGUUACGGAGCAAGUCCUUGGAAGAAUGCAGAAACAGGAGCCAAAUCUUGCCCUUGAAAUUGAGUUUUAACCAAGGGACAACUCUUCCCAAAGUAGCCACUGGAGAUGCACUGGGUGUUUUCUUUUACACACCCCGAAAUGAUGAUUUGCUGCAGGGGGAAAGAAAACGAAAACAAACUGGCUUCAGAUUGGAAUCCUUUAGUUGACAGACAUUUUAAAUAGAAAUCUUUUUUUUUUCACUCAUAUUUUUUUGGGCUGGUUCAAUACAUAGAGUUUGGGCCUACCUUGAGGAAGCACUGUGUUCUAGUCCUAGCAUCUCAUAUACAGUGAUUUCAGCACUCAGGAGAUGAAGACAGGAAGAUCAGAAAUUCAAGUUCCGUUUCCACUACACAGCAAGUUUGAGGCCAGCCUGUGCUACAUGAGACCCUGUCUCAAAUCAAACAAGAAACAAAACAAAAUCUUUAAAAAUAUAUUUAUAUAGUUACUGGAUAAGAGUUGAUUUUUUUAUAUUAACAAUAAUCUUUUCAUCCUUCUGAAAAAAAAUAAAAAAAAAUAACCCUUAGCUGUCCCUACAGCUUCUUCUCAGCCUGGGCCUCUCAUGUCAACAAGGACUCCUCCACGACCUGUCUACCCACCUGUUUCCCUGGGCCUGGACCUGAGCCUGAGCCCACCAUUUUCUCAUUUUAGACCUAGUACAGCCUUUGACAAGACCAGAAGUCGUUAUUAACUGUCUAUAUAAAGGCCAGUUGAGGUUACAUGGUGAGUUUCAGACCAGCCUGGACUACAAGGUAAGAUCCUGUCUCAAACACCUGCAGUAAGAACAAAGCGAAUGGCCCCCAAAAGAACUGAAAGCCGUACUUGUACACGAGGGCUCACAGAAACAGUGUUCAUAAUAGGCAAGUGGAGGAGACCUCAAUGCCCAUCAGUGCAUAAACAAAACAGAGCACCGCCAGGAAAUGGAAGGCUGCUUGGUCACAAAAGGCGAUGCAACACCAAGAAGUAUUUGAAGUGAUGCUCUUAUUUGAUCAUUACACAUCAUAUAUGUGUACCAGGAUAUCACACUGUAUACCAAACAUAUACAAUUAUCGUGUGUCAAAUUACAAACAAA